GUUUUUAUAGUUUAAGCAAAACAUUAAUUUUGUAAAUUAAAAAUAAUAGAUUUUAAAAACA
rnacentral:tRNA from 1 species